GAGCUCACUUUGGCAGCACAUACACUAAAACCGUACAGAGAAGAUUAAUGUGGCCCCUGUACAAGGAUGACAUGCAAAUUGGUGAGGUGUUCCAUAUUUUC
ensembl:snRNA U6 U6 spliceosomal RNA